GUCAGAAUGUGUCAUUUGUACCUGUUAGAGUUUGCCAUUUAUAACAAUAACGAUCAUGUUAAUCUAUGUUCUAAGAUACAUUGUUACAUUUGUGAUUGGUACGUUUACGUGGCCCAAUAUAUCUUCUUCUAACAAGUGGGAAAUCUUUAGUGAGGAAGGGGGAAAGUCCGUUGUUCUGUUUUUGAGCUGACUUGGAUGAAAUUGCAAGCAAUAGGCCUUCUUGGUCUCAAAAUAGUUGUGUAAAGGUUCGACAAAGGGAAAAGUCCGUUAUUUAGUUUUUGAACAGACCAGAUGAAAGUGUUACCAAUAAUAAUGUUACCUAAUUAAACCCAUCUUACUAGCAAAAGAAAACCGCAUCGCAAUGGGAUCUAGAUCAAAGAUGACAAUGGGUUGUUACUACUACUACUACCACUAAUUAUUCUUCUUCUGCCACUAAUUCUUCUUCUUCUUCUACUACUACUACCACUGUUGCUACUACUACUUCUUCUACUAAUUGUUCUUCUACCACUAAUUCUUCUUUUUCUUCUUCUACUACUACUACAACUGCUGCUACUACUACUUCUACUACUAGUAUCACUAAUCGAGGCGCCACUUCUUUGUCGAUGGUGUGUCCGGG
rnacentral:lncRNA from 1 species